rnacentral:rRNA from 1 species
GACGAACGCUGGCGGCGUGCUUAACACAUGCAAGUCGAACGGAAAGGCCCUGCUUUUGUGGGGUGCUCGAGUGGCGAACGGGUGAGUAACACGUUAGUAACCUGCCCUUGACUUUGGGAUAACUUCAGGAAACUGGGGCUAAUACCGGAUAGGAGCUCCUGCUGCAGGGUGGGGGUUGGAAAGUUUCGGCGGUUGGGGAUGGACUCGCGGCUUAUCAGCUUGAUGGUGGGGUAGUGGCUUACCAAGGCUUUGACGGGUAGCCGGCCUGAGAGGGUGACCGGCCACAUUGGGACUGAGAUACGGCCCAGACUCCUACGGGAGGCAGCAGUGGGGAAUAUUGCACAAUGGGCGGAAGCAUGAUGCAGCAACGCCGGGUGCGGGAGGACGGCCUUCGGGUUGUAAACCGCUUUCGCCUGUGACGAAGCGUGAGUGACGGUAAUGGGGAAAGAAGCACCGGCUAACUACGU